CAUGCAACAGGAUAAAAAUAGGGAUAAAAAUCCAAACCUAACAUCAUUAUGAUCUAAAUCUCAUCUCACUGUGGCUUCUGCUUUUCACUUGAUGGUUUUCUUCUUCAUGUAGCGUACUGUGCGAUCAAGGUGAUAUUAUGAUAAAUCAGCCCAGGAUUUCACAAACGCACUCAAAAUGCUUUAAAAUAAAGCUGUAGCAGCACCGCUCUCACCUUAGUAAAACAAACGCCCUAAAGGCGCCCUUUGUUUGCUGGCCUGGCAAGAAAACUAGAGAAACAAAAACUUAGUGUUAGAUCCAGAGCACCACAGCUGCCUCAUGUUAAGAAGUGUUGAUAUGAUUCAGUGAGCUCAGCAUCCAGAUGAAGAUUUGUAAAAUGGGAGGACACGUAACGUGAAAGCCUGAGCAGUACAGCAAUUUAGUUUGCAAGGAAUUUAGAGCAAAUUGAGAACAACUUACAUUGAGCUAAUAAAAUAAGCACAAAACAACAUGUUGGGGGCAAGCUUUGGCUGAGCUGUUGCAUUUUUCCAAUAACACCACCAUUAUUUUUUCUGAAAAUCCAUCCAGUGAUAUGGCGGCUGCUAAUGGAUUUGCAGGCCAGGUGAAACACGAACUGUGAGCUCAUCUUGAUGACUGAGAUUCUCAGACUAUUUCCUACUCCUACAAGGAGUACUUUCCUACUUUCCUACAAGAAGAACAACUUUACAGUAAAAUACAGGCAACAAAGAUUAAAGGAAGUGCAAAGCUGCUCCAGUUAUAGAUAAGAAAUUCUAAUAUGGUCUAGCUGCAGAUAAGAAAUUCUAAUAUGGUCUAGCUGCUUCUAGCAUUGUGAAAUUUUCCUAAUGGUGGCCAUUUAGAAACAAAGAAAUUAUUGUUACUCCGGAUGUGAUAGAUUUGAUGUUUACAGCCCACCCUUGAGCCCUUGGAUAUUUUACAUUAACACUUUUGAUAACGGUCCCUUUGGGUCAGGCAACAGGGGAGAAGGGGUUGGGGGCUGCAAGAGGAAAGUGUUAGAAAGAAAUUACGAAGUUUUAACUGUACAACAGGUUUGAAGAGCAGCUUCAAAGGAUUCCAUUUUAAAAAAAAAAAAAAAAAAAAAAACAGAUAUGGUGCCAGAACAGAAGUAAACAGAAAAGGCUGUAUAGUUACUGGAGAAUAACUCGGUAGGAACAGUGCAUCUAAGAGAACUCAGGCUUUGAGGCACAACAUGGUGUUGAUUAGUGCAAAUAAACCUCUUCAAGAAUCACCUUUCAGCAAUUACAAUCAGACACUACCACUGUGGCUUCAAAAGCUUCAUUAGCAAACCUACUCCCAGUGAGAGCUGCAAACCUCAGAUACCCUAGAAGUUUUAACUGAUGGUGAAGUGUCUUGCCUUAUUUAUUUUCUUCCAAAUUAAAGAAGAGUUUAUCUCUCUGAAAUGGAUCCACGGAUCCAUAAGCAGGUUCCUACAGUGUGAUUCUACCUAUGAAUAUGUUUGAAGAACGAGAACAAACUUGAAAACAACCUGUUGGCCAGAAUCGGUUGAGAAGCUUCUUCCAGUUACCUUCAUCUUCAGGAAAGCAUUCUGUACUUCUAAGGCACUGUUCUAUCCAGGGCAAUAUAGCCUGAAAACUUAGAAUGAAGAAAAAUUGAAAAUGAGACAGGUGCUAUCCAUCUAAAACUACAGGAACUUUGGAGGCCAGACUGGGCAACCUCCUGCUCAAAGCAGGGUCAACACUGGAGUCGGACCAGGGCUUUGUCCAGUCUUGCCUCAAAACCUCCAACAAUGGAGCAUCUACCAUGUCCCUGGGUCCCUGUUCCGCUGACAAAAAGCAAGAUAAAAGAGACUGGGAGAAAGCACUGGUGCAUUAGGGGCAUGGAUUCACAUGUUGACUUCAUAGUAGUAGCAAGCGGAAUGUGCUGAACCUGGCUGUGCACCUGCUGCAGAUAAGAAGCAGGGAAGGGUGUUCACUGGAACUCCUUUGAGCCAACUACUGCAAGCAUCACAGGAUAUGCACUGCUUGUAUUGUUAGGCUCAAAGUGAACACUUGCCUUAGCAUUUCCCAUGUGCCUUGCUUUAAGAGACGGUACUCUAGAUGUGAACCUAUGAAUACGUUUUUAGAUUUAAUGUGUAAUAAAUACAUUGGGAAAUAAAGUAAAAUGGAGUUUCUAGA